ACAGCAGCCGCCACGGUAAUACGUAGGUGGCAAGCGUUGUCCGGAAUUAUCGGGCGUAAAGGGCUCGCAGGCGGUUUCUUAAGUCUGAUGUGAAAGCCCCCGGCUCAACCGGGGAGGGUCAUUGGAAACUGGGAAACUUGAGUGCAGAAAAGGAGAGUGGAAUUCCACGUGUAGCGGUGAAAUGCGUAGAGAUGUGGAGGAACACCAGUGGCGAAGGCGACUCUCUGGUCUGUAACUGACGCUGAGGAGCGAAAGCGUGGGGAGCGAACAGGAUUAGAUACCCCGUAGUCCCUGUCUCUUAUACA
rnacentral:rRNA from 1 species